AAAAAGAAAAGAAACAAAGAUUCAAAACAAAAAAUCCAGUCCCCCUUUAAACGUAAAUUGCUCUCACACUUGUUUUAACUAAAUGUUUACCAUAUAUAUAAAUUGAAAUCAUUUCAACAACAGGCUACUGUCGUACUGACAAGUUUUCAUUCAGCAUCUCUGCAUCUUCAAGUUCAAGGUCACAACAAGUUUGUCUUACAUGAACUGGUUCCCUGAUUGCAUUUGGAUAACAGACGUUCUUCUAUCGCACUGCAACUCAGGACUCUUGUAGAAGUUGAACUUUACCAGUUUGAAGGUGUACAACUGUGCAAGUAUUGAACAUCAGCUUCAAAUGCAAUGUGAUCUAAAAGACAACAUAAUAAUGGACAGAUGUUCUCUGGUCGUUAGUACUGGUUUGCCACACACAUGAAUAUAUUGAUCCUGCUUUCAGCUAAAUAUCAGAAAAAUUAAGAACAAAGGAAAGGAUGCUGAAACUGUACAGUCACCGGUCAGGAUUGUUUCAGAAGUGAAAUUACAAUACAAUAUAUGUUACUGGUUAAUUCCUAUGAUUUGUAAUUUUAAACAACACACAUAGACUUUGCAUUAUUGUUUUACAAGAGAGACACCAAAAGAUGCAGUCAACAUUUAUUAUUUUUAUCAAAAUACACCGAGGACAAAUCAUGGGUACACUUAGCUUGAAAUAUGGUGCUUUCAUACCAAAAUUGCCUGGACGUAAAAGAAAUAAAGAACCAAAAUUCAUGUCAGCAAUCAUGCAGGGGAUAAGAUGAAAGAAUAAAGAAUAAGGCAGGAGUGAAAGGAAGAGAAAAAGUCAUCAGUAAAGAAACA